AUACGAAGGGGGCUAGCGUUGUUCGGAAUCACUGGGCGUAAAGCGCGCGUAGGUGGAUCAAUUAGUUGAGGGUGAAAUCCCGGGGCUCAACCUCGGAACUGCCUUCAAUACUGUUGAUCUUGAGACCGAGAGAGGUGAGUGGAAUUCCUAGUGUAGAGGUGAAAUUCGUAGAUAUUAGGAAGAACACCAGUGGCGAAGGCGGCUCACUGGCUCGGUACUGACGCUGAGGUGCGAAAGCGUGGGGAACAAACAGGAUUAGAUACCCCAGUAGUCC
rnacentral:rRNA from 1 species